AAAUGAGCAGAAGAAGGUUCCUUUAACCCCUUUAUGUGACAACAAAUUAUCAAUUUGAAAUGUAGAAUAUUUCUCUCUCUCUCUCCCAUCGGCAUUUUUGCUCCUCGAUCCCCUCCUGACUCCUUCUAACUCAAACCAUCCUUCCUUCCAUCCUUCCUUUAAUCCUUCCUCCUCUCCAGGUUUAUCAAAGCGAUCCUGAUGAGAGCAACCUUGAUAAAUGCUAACAGCCCUCUCUCCUUGCUUCCUUUCCUUGCUUCCUCCAGUCUUAGUAUGAGUCUCUGUGGUGUUUAGAGUUAUUUUUUCCUCACAUUGAAACGAAUAACUUCCUGUCUCUCUUUUAUUUCUCUGUGUCUCUGAUAGAAAAUGUGCGCUGAGCGGUCAGACCAAAACCUGUAAGCACAGAAUCAAGUUUGGAGAUUCAUCCAACUAUUACUACGUCUCUCCGUACUGUAGAUACAGAAUCACAGCAGUGUGUAACUUCUUCACCUACAUUCGCUACAUCCACCAAGGGCUGGUCAAACAGCAGGAUGCGGAGCAGAUCUUCUGGGAGGUGAUGCAGCUCCGCAGGGAGAUGUCUUUAGCAAAGCUCGGCUACUACAAAGACCAGCUGUGACUGACAGACAGCUCCAGCAUCCAAUCACAGCAGUCCGCUCCCUCAAGAAGCCCCGCCCCCUGACCCUCCUCCUUUUGUGUGAGUGUGUUUUCGUGUGAGAGAGAGAGAGACUGUCUGUUCCAUGUGAAAUUUGCUUUAUUGUAAACACUCCAAAAUAUGAAGACAUGAAGAGAGAAGUGAAAAUGUCUGAGGAGCUUUGACUAUGCUUUGUUUUCUCCCCCUCAUUUAUAAAUACCUUCAAUCAUUCAAUCAGAGUUUAACAAUAGUCAUUCAGGUUCCUCGCUGAUCCAGAACUCUUCAGUCAAAUAUUAUUUAUUGUUUUAUGUUUGAGAUCUUAAAGUAGGCUUCGCUGAAUCUUAAAAAUAUAUCAAGACGCCCCCCAACAAUGUGUUUAAGCUUUUAAUUGACGUUUGUAGUAUAUGAUGAACGCAGUCCGGGUAGUUUGAUGCAAAGAUAAUCAGAAAUCUGGUUCAAUUCAUUUCUCCAGGGACGUGGCUUACUGUACCUGCUUAGUGAGUAUUUACAGCAACAAACUCAUUCAAUUCAAAUCAUUUCAUCGUUAAAGAGCUGCAAUGCUUCGUCCACUAAACUCAAACUAUUUUGAAUAUUCAUUAAAGUUUUAAAAGCAGCCUCUCAGAUGUGAAGAGUUCCUAUUGUUUAACAUCAGAUCAAACUGAAUAUCUGCAGACGGAUAAAUCCAGACAUGUAACAACAAUGCCGUGGACUUUUCCUCUAUUUCGGACAUUUUAAAACCAAUGAAUCCAGUUAACGGAUACAUUUCGAAGUUGCAGCUUGAUUGUUAUUAUUUCUCUGGUUUUUCCCUCUCGAUGUCCGUCUUCCUCACCGUCCUGAGUUAGUUUCACUACAAGAGCACAGAGCAAACGCGUCUACUCAACAUUUUACAGUCAGAAAGAUUCUAUUUAUAAUUCCUUUAAGACUUUAUGACAGUUGUUUUGUGAUUUCCAGACGUUCAUGAAGCUAAAGAAACACUCCAUUUCCUGCUGUUAAACACUACGUACAUAAACACUACGUGCUGUUAAACACUACGUACAUAUGCUGACAUCAUUACAAAUGUGUGGGGGGGAUUCUCCUUUUACGGCUCCUGGUGUUUUGAGCCUGCUGUAUUUAAUCAAUCAGGAUGACGUGUAGAUAUUAAGCUGUGUGUGUUAGGGGAUGUGUGUGUGUGUGUGUGUUUGUACGCCUGCUGUUGUGUAAACUUUAUAAAUAUGUUAAUUUAAA